rnacentral:rRNA from 1 species
AGCGAACGCUGGCGGCAGGCUUAACACAUGCAAGUCGAACGGGGUCCAACCUCUCGCAAGAGAGGGGAAGACCUAGUGGCGAACGGGUGCGUAACACGUGAGGAACCUGCCCCGAAGACCGGGACAACACCGGGAAACCGGUGCUAAUACCGGAUAUCCCCACCUGACCGCAUGAUCGGGUGAGGAAAUGGAUUCCGCUUUGGGAGGCCUCGCGGCCUAUCAGCUUGUUGGUGAGGUAACGGCNCACCAAGGCUCCGACGGGUAGCUGGUCUGAGAGGACGACCAGCCACACUGGGACUGAGACACGGGCCCAGACUCCUACGGGAGGGCAGCAGUGGGGAAUCUUGCGCAAUGGGCGAAAGCCUGACGCAGCAACGCCGCGUGCGGGAUGACGGCCU